rnacentral:lncRNA from 1 species
CUUCUCGCGUGGCUUGAGCUUUCAUGGCUGCAGCUGAGCUCAGCUUUCAGCUCUCUCUUCCUUUGGUGCCUUUUUUCACUGCAGUGACAUUUGGGCUCUUUUUAUUCUCUCUCCAGAGAGAAAAGCUGCCUGCUCCCAUUUCCCCAAACUUUUGUCGUUCCUCUGUGUUCUUUAAUUUUAAGUUGCAGUUUUAUUGUUUUAUUUAACCCGAGUGGUUGAGCGUUCCAAUACUUUUACUAGACAAGCAUAAGAAAGUUCCAUUGGAGGUGAGGAAUUCCACGACUUUGAGGAGAAAGGAAGUAAGCCCCUGAAGCUCACACAGCAGUGAUGAGUCGAGCCAGAGAUGAAAUGCAGGCUGGCAUCAUGCCUUGUGAAAUGAUGAGCAUUUGUCUUUGGGUUUGUCCAGCUCAGAAGAAACAUUUAUCUACACGCAUCAAAGCUUCAAGUGUUACGCAGUCAGUGGAGGGAAUCUGGCCCACAGUUCCCUUCAAGUGUGCAUCUAAAUUCGGUCGGGAAAUGUGUGUUGGGUGAGACGGAGAUCCAGCCUGGCAGGGGAUCCGCGUCCACGGCGAAAGACACGGGUGUUAGUAGAGCGUGCGCUGGCAGAGCAUAUUGAGCUCUGUUGUUUGCUCUGUAAGGCUGCUUGCCCUGUAAAUUGUAGGUGAAAGGAGAGGUUUAAAGGGAUUGGCAAGGGACAGUCCGAGAAGUACUGCUGUGGCUACUAGCAGGCAGCUUGUUUGUAUGUUUUCACAACAUUUCCAUAUUUCUUAGUUUAGAAACAUUUUUCUAAGUCUGUUCCUGCGGAAAGGACAAUCUCCUCCAGGUGGAUCCCAGUUCCCUGAAGCCAGAGUAGUCCCAGAAAUAAGAAAUGCUGCUCUGAAUCUAAACUUGCCAAAGUCCUUUCAAGUUGGGCACCAAAAGUGCUGGCC